rnacentral:rRNA from 1 species
CCUACGGGAGGCAGCAGUAGGGAAUCUUGGACAAUGGGCGCAAGCCUGAUCCAGCCAUGCCGCGUGAGUGAAGAAGGCCUUAGGGUCGUAAAGCUCUUUCGCCUGUGAUGAUAAUGACAGUAGCAGGUAAAGAAACCCCGGCUAACUCCGUGCCAGCAGCCGCGGUAAUACGGAGGGGGUUAGCGUUGUUCGGAAUUACUGGGCGUAAAGCGCGCGUAGGCGGAUUAGACAGUUGAGGGUGAAAUCCCGGAGCUUAACUCCGGAACUGCCUUCAAUACUACUAAUCUUGAGUUCGGAAGAGGUGAGUGGAAUUCCUAGUGUAGAGGUGAAAUCCGUAGAUAUUAGGAAGAACAUCAGUGGCGAAGGCGACUCACUGGUCCGAUACUGACGCUAAGGUGCGAAAGCGUGGGGAGCAAACAGGAUUAGAUACCCUGGUAGUCCACGCCGUAAACGAUGGAAGCUAGUUGUUGGGCGGCAUGCCGUUCGGUGACACAGCUAACGCAUUAAGCUUCCCGCCUGGGGAGUACGAUCGCAAGAUUAAAACUCAAAUGAAUUGACGG